AUAUAAGCAAAUUUUACUUUUUAGGUUCAUUCAAUUAAUGAUGUAUGUGGUCUAUAUUAUAAACCACAUACAUCAUUAAUUGAAUGAACCUAAAAAAUAAAAUUUGCUUAUAU
rfam:Medicago truncatula strain A17 chromosome 1, whole genome shotgun sequence.